rnacentral:lncRNA from 1 species
AUACGCGUCUCAUUACGUUGCGAACUUGCGAUUUGUCGACACAUUUAUUUUGACGCUCCGCAUUUCUUCUGCUUUCCAUACCAUCUGUUGCUAACAAUCUUGAUUACCUACGGAUUUUAUCAGAACUUUACACUAUAUAAUAUUCUUAUUACAUCGGAAGACGAGAUCUCCUGGGUUUUUUCCUUGUUUUCGUUUCGUGGAACGAUCUUUUCUUGUAAACAUUCCAACAACGAAGACGAUAAAACUGAUAAGUCGCAAAAGGAUGAAUGCAUAAAUUGACACUAGCGACAAUAGCUGCGCAGAUUCCAGAUCGAAUCAAAUUGUAAGCUUCCACCAUAGCGAAAUGGCUCGAGCUACAUGCUACAAGUAUCGAUGUUAUACGAUGGUCCAGUGACGUUGAGCCAGUUAGAAAUUCUAUUUGCCGGCAUAUUUUUACUGCAACCAAAUCGAGAUAUGUAUCACAAGCUCAUAUUGCUGUGAUAACUGCUGUCCUUGUCCCUGCAGUUCUGCGGGAUUGACAACUGCGUCAAUAAUUGCUGCAUAGGUGCUUUCGAAUAAUAUUCUAGUUCCAGGAUCAAUUGUAUGAGCUUCUUCGAUCGACAUAUUAAAAAAUUCUGCAUCAAAUUUUCCUAUAUUGUUGAUUUUUCCUAUUCGAAGAGGCAUUUUGUAGAUAUCUGACAAAAUUUAUAACGAUUUAUAUGAAAAUAACAUAUAUUUAAUUUAUAAAUAAGAACUACAUUCUAUUAAAGAUAGGCAAGAUAAUUUUAA